UGCUGUGUGACCUAUAAUUUUAUGAUUGAGUCUGCUGUCCGAAAAGAUGAUGUCUAAAUGUUAUAUGAUUGUGCAAUUCUGACUGGUAGUGGGCUGUAUUAUGCUGUGAAUGUUAUAUGCUUUGAAUGUUAUUUAAUUGUGAAUGUUAUAUGAUGAUGAAUGUUAUAUGCUGUAUUGGAUGUUGUCGAGUUGCUUGGAGAGCCAUGGGAGUUUGUCUAUAGAAACACUGAAUUUUUUUAUGAAU
rnacentral:lncRNA from 1 species